UUUAGCAGCACCUGAAAGGAAAGCACAAAAAACUACUGGAAGAAUGCAUUUAACAUUCUGACACAAGGUUGUCAGCCAGCUAUGAAACAUCGGUACACGUCAAUAGUUUCAUUUUCAGGUCACCGAGAUCUGCAGGCAAGACCUUCCUAGGCAAACUGUCAUCUGCUGAGGUCCAUCUUGCUUUAAGUAUGGGAUUUUUUUUUCUGUUGUGCCUCUGACCCUAUGGAAUCACCACUGCUUUGAAAUAAGACAAGCACCAGU